rnacentral:rRNA from 1 species
GUCGUAACAAGGUUUCCGUAGGUGAACCUGCGGAAGGAUCAUUAUUGAAUUAACUUGGUUGGGUUGUUGCUGGCUUUUAGGAGCAUGUGCACAUCCACUCCAUUUUCAACCACCUGUGCACACAUUGUAGGCUUGAAACUCUCGAGGACACUCGGUUUGAGAAUUGCUCUUAAAUGCAGCUUUUCUUGCAUUUCAAGCCUAUGUUUUUAUAUACUCCAUAUGAAUGUAAUAGAAUGUUUAUUAAGGGCCUUUUGUGCCUAUAAAACAAAUACAACUUUCAACAACGGAUCUCUUGGCUCUCGCAUCGAUGAAGAACGCAGCGAAAUGCGAUAAGUAAUGUGAAUUGCAGAAUUCAGUGAAUCAUCGAAUCUUUGAACGCACCUUGCGCUCCUUGGUAUUCCGAGGAGCAUGCCUGUUUGAGUGUCAUGAAAUUCUCAACCUCUCUAGCUUUAUCUAGCUGGUUAGGCUUGGAUUGUGGAAGUUGCUGGUUUUAUCAGAAAUCAGCUCUUCUUAAAUGCAUUAGCAAAACCUUUGCUGACUAUCUUUAGUAUGAUAAUUAUCUAUACUAUUGAAAAGUAGCUCCUAUGGGGAUGGUUUUGCUUCUAACAGUCCAUCUGGACAACCUUGACAAUUUGACCUCAAAUCAGGUAGGACUACCCGCUGAACUUAG